rnacentral:lncRNA from 10 species
AUGCUUUUUAAAUAUACUAAUAUGCUUGUAGUGUUUCUCAAGUUCAUCUCACCACAUGUCCCUUGUUUUCUGAGCUCGCUGGGGGAUUGAUGCUCCACGGAGCGCUGCUGGGAAACGCUGGACCAGAGCCAGUUCCAAAGACUUCCUUCUGAAAAUCCUAGGUUUGUUCUGCAGGUGUGGCCUAACAGCUCCAUCUUUUUUGUGUUCAGAAACAUUCAUCCUGUGCUAUCACAUGCGGCAUCGCCUCAGGUAAGACAAGCAGAACAGGGAGCAAAGGAAAACUUUCAUUCAUUAACUCAACACACAUUGAGUGCCCACUAGGGUCAAGUAUGAGGCCCCAUCUUGGCAAUGGAUUUUAGAGACCACAGACAAGCAAGGGUCUGUGGAGAAGUCUUUCCAUCUGUAGUUUCCAAGGAGUCCUGAGACUUGGAAUCCACUGCUGUGUUUGAAGGGUUUGCGCUGGGUUGAGGAGGAGAGUUUACCUGGACUAUGCUUGUACGGAGGUGUAUGGCAACAACAUAAUAUCGAGACAAAAGCAGAGCCAGAAUUGCUAACCACAGGCCAAGAAAACCAAUGACAUAUCUAGGGGAAACUGGAAAUAUUUACUCCCAAGUAUUAACAGUGAUUACCAUGAAGUGUUGUAAUUAGGAGCAGCUUUAAAUUUUUUUUUUUUUUUUUUUUUUUACUUUUUUUUUCCUCCCGACUAGCUGGGAUUACAGGCACGUGCCACCACGCCAGCUAUUUUUUAUGUGUUUUUAGUAGAGACGGGGUUUCACCAUGUUGGGCAGGCUGGUCUGGAACUCCUGAGCUUGUGAUCCAUCCGCCUCAGCCUCCCAAAGUGCUGGGAUUACAGAUGUGAGCCACCACGCCCGGCCACUUAAUUUUUU